UACGGAGGGUGCAAACGUUGCUCGGAAUCAUUGGGCGUAAAGCGCACGUAGGCGGACCGCUAAGUCGGAUGUGAAAGCCCUCGGCUUAACCGAGGAAGUGCAUUCGAAACUGACAGUCUUGAGUAUGGAAGAGGGUCGCGGAAUUCCCGGUGUAGAGGUGAAAUUCGUAGAUAUCGGGAGGAACACCAGUGGCGAAGGCGGCGACCUGGGCCAAUACUGACGCUGAGGUGCGAAAGCUAGGGGAGCGAAACGGGAUUAGAAACCC
rnacentral:rRNA from 1 species